ACAGUUGCUGUCUUUCAAUUACGAAACUAUUUUGCCAUUACAAAUUUCUGCUGCUCGCACAAGUAUUUUCUACAAGUAUACAAAUCAUUUUGAGACUGUUCUGGCGCUUCCUGUUGAAUAGCCAAUGGCGAUCCUCAGGUUUGGCUAGCCAACCAUGAAUCUCAGUUCACUAACCAAUCACAGAGCAAUCACGGAGCAGCGCCGUCGUUGUCUGUGGGUGCAACCAAACCUGGAGUCUACGUUUGGAGCACGCUAGUUUCCUGUAUUCCUUGAGUUUCUUAUGGAUCCCCAGUUGCUGCCUCCUUCUGAAGCACAGGUUAUUAGAGAGGCUGAAAACCAGACUGGAACAGGCUCUUCAAAGGCAGCCUCAGGACCUGGACUAUUUAGAGUUCCUCUGUACCAGUGAGUUGAGUCUAGUUCACUGAGUACUCACAUGCCAUUUCCAGAAGAGGUCAUAGGCAGACGGGAAAAGCAGGCCUUAAAAGAGGGCUACAGGAUACUGGGGUGCUCCCAAUGAUAACAGAACGGCCAGAACUGGCUAGAGUUCUGUUCCCACAAGGUGUCUCAUCUCUGAUGGAUCCUAAGGUAUUAAUGUUCAAGCAUGGCAAUUUAAACAUGGCAAGCAUGACACAUCCUCUCACAUUCUUUUUGCAAAGGUAAAUUUGUAAAUGGAGGAAAACAACUGACAGAAUAAAGUACAUCAUGACUAUGGUACAGUGCACAAUAGUAUUCCAAACAGGGCACACUGUUUUUG